rnacentral:rRNA from 1 species
GACGAACGCUGGCGGCGUGCCUAAUACAUGCAAGUAGAACGCUGAAGGAGGAGCUUGCUCUUCUGGAUGAGUUGCGAACGGGUGAGUAACGCGUAGGUAACCUGCCUGGUAGCGGGGGAUAACUAUUGGAAACGAUAGCUAAUACCGCAUAACAGUAGAUGUUGCAUGACAUUUACUUAAAAGGUGCAAUUGCAUCACUACCAGAUGGACCUGCGUUGUAUUAGCUAGUUGGUGGGGUAACGGCUCACCAAGGCGACGAUACAUAGCCGACCUGAGAGGGUGAUCGGCCACACUGGGACUGAGACACGGCCCAGACUCCUACGGGAGGCAGCAGUAGGGAAUCUUCGGCAAUGGACGGAAGUCUGACCGAGCAACGCCGCGGGAGUGAAGAAGGUUUUCGGAUCGUAAAGCUCUGUUGUAAGAGAAGAACGAGUGUGAGAGUGGAAAGUUCACACUGUGACGGUAGCUUACCAGAAAGGGACGGCUAACUACGUG